ensembl:lncRNA
AUUUAUUCAUAUAAUUGAGCACUGAGAGAAAAAGGUAAAGAGAAUAUUCCAAUAUUAAAAAGAUUAUUGGGCAUAAAGUCUGAGUUGAAAUUGGCUUCCAGUGACUUGAAGUGUGAGAAAAAGGUAAAUUGCUGUUACACCAUAGGGGAAAGGAAGAACAUGUUUGCCAUGUAUGUGACCCACUGGAGCAUAUAUUAGUAUUUUAGUACUUCCCUGCCCAAAGUUCUAUAUGAAUUUAUCUUCCUAUUUCCAGAUUGUGAUUCCUGGGGACUCUAGCCUACAACAGUUGGUACCAGGAAUAAUUCCAGAAGGCAGAUUCAAAAAUGGGAUUUGCAAGCUGGAUUGCCAGCCACUCAGCUAAUGAUGAAGGCCACCUCACUAGCAGGGGGAAUACUGACAGCACAUGAUUCUAGAAGAGCAGGAAAAGCUGGUUUAUCAAGUCUUGUCAUCAUUAUAAAACUACAGAGACAGCACAGUUCCAGAACAAACAUUCUCCAAAAUCUCUAA